ensembl:lncRNA
AAAGACUAUGCGUUUCUGCCACCAGAAACUGACUGAGACUGACUACAAAGGGGACGAAUAUGCUCUUGGGCAAGUAGAUCAGGACCCUACGCAAUGCCACUCCCUUACAUGCUCCUGUCCAACCUCUCUGGACAUUAGGGGGUCACACCUCAUAAAGUUGAAGAAAUGCAGCCCUCCCGGAGGAAGUGAGUAGAGGAGAAGCAGAUGAGGAAGUUGAGGCAUGGAGCUGUUGAGGAAAUGAGACACCAGGAAGCCAAUGCAACCUGACUGGAAAGUCCAGUCUGCUAACCCGUAUACUACUGUAACCUGUUUCCCAAAGACAAACGAGAAACGCGAACUGAAACAUCCGGACUGUGCUGAAUAGCCGAGAAAAAGCAACCUCUGAACUUCAGAAUGUCUAAAGUUAAGCAAAGGGAGCCAUCUAGUGGCGAGAAUUCACACUGCAGCAGAUGACCACCUGUUAUAAAAUCAAGGCCAUCACCUCAACAAGUGUCAGGCAUGAUGGCAGGAGCAGGAAGCUGAGAGACCACAUCCUCACCCACAGGCAUGGAUACGAGAGAACAGAUGAACGGUGGAGUAAGGCUGUCAACAUUCAAACCCGAUUCCUCACCCAAGGGCGCACCUCCCUAUCAACUCCUCAAACAGCACCGCCAACUAGGAACAGUGCUCAAAUGCUUAAGCCUGUGGGAGACCUUUCUCAUUCAAACCACCACACUAGCUUAAUGGUUCAGAGGAUCAGUCUAUCAUCAUCAAGGCAGCGUCCAAGCAGG